UGUCAUAAACGCGCCCACACAAUUUAGUUACGUUAUACUUCAGCGCGUACUUUUCAAAAUUGGCUACAUGUUAUGUAAUAUUUUUGUUGUUAAUUUAAUAAAUGCACAGUGCUGUUUAAGUAAAAUAUAGCCCUACGAACAAGCAAUGGCCUGCGUUAUUGUGGGGUGUAAAUCUCAUUCUUCUCGUAAAGAAAAUGAAACUGACAUCAUCAGCUUCCAUCGAUUCCCCACAGAUGAUGCUAUGAGGCAAAAAUGGACCGAUCGCUCGUCCCAAUUGCAAUUG